GUAUAAUCGACGUGUCUCAUGACCGCUCACCCUUACUCACUAUCCACAUACACUGCUGCCCUGUUCUUCAGCCUGGAGACCAGGCUCGUUGUGCCGUAUCCAGGUUAUCAAGUUCACUACAUAAACUCUAGUCUGUAUGAAUGAUACUGGAACGUAAAACAUAUA
rnacentral:misc_RNA from 1 species